GGCAGAGGCAUGCCCAACUUUGGCUGGCUGCCUUUUAGAGAAUAGCUGGGGAUAUAUGAGAGUGAAUGAAGGCAGAACAGUAAAACUGAUUACAGGAAGUCCCAAGUUGGAGAAAAUUGUGGCUUGCUCCAGAAAGUGGAAAUAGAGAUGGAAAGGAAAAGAUGAAUUCAAAAAUACGCUUUGGAGAAUUUUGAAAAAUAAAUAUGAUUUAAAAUUGCUUGUCAAGGCUUCCAUGGAAACUGAAGUAUUCAUUCUACGUUCAAGGCAGGAUUGCAUUCCCUGCUCUCUUUAAAGAUAGGAUUGGUCGUACCUGCUCUCCCCGGUGAAGUGGACCCAGUGGUGUCCUGGAGCUUAUACUGGCUUUUACCAGCACAAAUUUGAAAAAAGGGAAAGCCUGCUCUGUUUGGAGAAAUGAAAGGAAGAAAUGCGCAGUGUGAGUAGAAGUAGAGCCAAGGGAGAAAGCUCAAGAAAAAGGGGUUAAAACUAAAGAAAGAAUGGCCUAUUAUGAUGGGUUACUUCAACCCCCUUGGAAUGUCAAUUUUCCACAAACAGUAAAGGGAUUCAUAAGAGGUUCUGAUCAUUAUGGAAUAUUCUUCUACAACUGAGAAAGUGCAGCUGCUGAAUGCAGUUUUCCCCUUAUUGGCACAACAUCAAUCUAAAGUCGGUGUGGAGGCAGAAUCAAAGAGUAAGAGAAAGAAGAAAGAGAAAAAGAAAGAAGAAGGAAAAGAAGAAGGAGUGGUCAUGGCCACUGCUAAUUUAAAAGGAGUUUGGGAAAUGUGCUCAACUAAAGUCUAAUUAGCAUAGAGGAAGGUUCACAGAAAUAGAAAAACCAUGUGAGAUUUCUUGGUGCAAUUUCUUCAGAUACUGAAGUCUCAAAUUUAGGAGACAAUAUAAAAGGAAGAAAAGGAGGAAUAUGUUGUGCUGAUUAGGUGCUUCCAAUCUUAUCCUGAAGGCAUCGAUAAGUCAUUGAGGAAUUUGUAUGCAAAAGGACAUGGACCUUACUUGAUCAGAUACUUACUUCAGAAAGAUUGGAAAAACCUGAGCAUGUUUAUAUCCUAAAGGAAAUGAGCCAGCAGAAAGGACUGUUUAAAGAUUCACACAAUAAACAGGGAAACGGCACAGACCUACAU